rnacentral:rRNA from 1 species
AGAACGAACGCUGGCGGCGUGGAUAAGACAUGCAAGUCGAGCGAUCACUUCAGGGUAGCAAUAUUCUGGAGUGGGAGCGGCGCAAGGGUGCGUAACACGUGGGUAAUUUGCCGAGAAGUUUGGGAUAACUCGCUGAAAGGCGAGCUAAUACCGGAUGUGAUCAUCGAGCGGCAUCGUUUGAUGAUUAAAGUUGGGGACCGUAAGGCCUGACGCUUCUUGAUAAGCCCGCGGCCUAUCAGCUAGUUGGUGAGGUAACGGCUCACCAAGGCUAAGACGGGUAGCUGGUCUGAGAGGACGACCAGCCACACUGGAACUGAGACACGGUCCAAGACACCUACGGGUGCAGCAGUCGAGAAUUUUCACAAUGGGACGAAGCCUGAUGGAGCGACGCCGCGGUGGGGAGUGGAAGGUCGUUCGGCGUCGUAAACCCCUGUCUAUUCGACGAACCAACCUUAGACUUAAGUUAAAAGAGUA